GGAGGAGACGCAUCACAGAGAAGCGUGAGCGGUCCAGUCACCGUGUGCUUAACAUGUACAUGUUCAGACCCUUCACUGGUGCUCAAGUCACCUUCUCCCCGAAAUGCUCCUCUCUGUUGGCUUCCACUCUCAGCUUUCCCACCGGACCGAGUUUGGCGUAAAAGUCUCAGAACAUGAGGUCACUGGAGAGUCUGGGCAACCAAAGCACUGUGAAAUGGACAGAAAGCCCACAGGGACCACGGAACGUAGACUGUUGCAGAUGAAAAGGCCUGUGCGUCAUCAGUCAUGCGUCAUCUCAGGCGCUUCAUCCUGUAGAGAGGGGCAGAUUCGGACCCGCAUCCAGAGGUGAGUUCCUAAAACUCAGCCA
rnacentral:lncRNA from 1 species